AUGUAUAGGAACAAUCCAGUGGAGAUGGUCAUCUUUUUCAUGGUGGUCAUAUGCAUGGCACAAAUCACAUUUGAAGCAGAGGCCAUGUCUCUUCCAGCUGAUGAGGUGCAAGCCCUUCAAGAAAUUGCUGAGCAACUGAACAAAAAGGAUUGGAAUUUGAGCGACCCAUGUAGAAAUGUUCCAACUUUCUCAAUCCCACAUGCGGAUCAGUACUACAAUACCCUCUUCUGCAACUGUUCCUUCUCCGGCAAUGUGUGCCAUGUCCAAACCAUUUAUCUUGUGGGUCAGGACCUGGAUGGUGUGCUUCCACCAUCACUGGUGAAGCUACCUUACCUUAAGGAACUUAAUUUGGGUCAGAAUUACCUUAGUGGCACGAUUCCACCAGAAUGGGGUUCUACCAAGUUGGAAUUUCUGGUUCUCAGUGUGAACAACUUAUCAGGACCUAUCCCUGCCUUUUUGGGGAACAUAACUACUCUCCGAUCUUUGGCCUUGGAAAGUAAUCAAUUUUCUGGAAAUAUUCCACCGGAGUUGGGAAGAUUGGUUAACAUGGAAGUCCUCUAUCUUCGAGCUAACAAUCUCAUUGGACAGUUGCCUGUGACUCUCACAAAUAUGACCAAAUUAAAUACACUUUGGAUUGGCAGUAACAACUUCACUGGAAAAAUACCGAACUAUUUUCUUAGUUGGAAAGAACUUCAGAUGUUAGAAAUGCAAGCAAGUGGCUUUGAAGGGCCAAUUCCCUCUAGUCUUUCUGCCUUAAGUAAUAUGACAUACCUAGUUAUCAGUGACAUGAACGGAGAGAGCUCAGUUUUUCCGAACUUGUCAAACAUGAAAAACAUGCAGAAAUUGAUGUUAAGGAGCUGCAAUAUAACAGGAUCAAUUCCAGAAUAUAUCUCUAACAUGACAAGCCUCCAAGUUUUAGAUCUUAGCUUCAACAGAUUGGAAGGGAGCAUCCCGAAUCUUGACAACUUAAUAAGAUUGGCCACAAUAUAUCUGACAAGUAACUGGCUUACUGGGCUUCCGGAGUGGAUCAAAAGUAGAGAUAGCCGUUACAUAAUAGAUCUUUCUUACAACAACUUUUCAAGGGACUCUGUCCCAACUACAUGUCGAGAAACCUUGUAAGAGUAACAGUAUUCAUUGCAUAUAAAUUGUGGUGGAAAACCAAUCACCAUUGGAAGCAUCAAGUAUGAGGGGGAUGAAGCUUCAGGAGGUGCAGCAAAGUUUUUUCAAGACACAGUUAAUUGGGGAUUUAGUAGCACUGGUGAUUAUGGGGUUAUGAAUGUUGACCAAGCCUACAUAGCAAACAAUAUUUCCAUACUCAAAAUGAACAACUCCGAAUUGUACAGAACUGCCCGUCUUUCUUUUCUUUCACUCACAUAUUAUGCCCGUUGCUUAGCGAAUGGAAAUUACACUGUGAAACUACACUUUGCAGAAAUAGUUCUCAGAGACAACAGGUCUUAUUAUGGUGUUGGAACACGAUUUUUUGAUGUCUAUAUCCAGGAAAAACUGGUAUUGAAGGAUUUUAAUAUUGAAAAGGAAGCACAAGGGGUUGAUAAGGAAGUAAUUAAAGUAUUUAAAGCAGUUGUCAAUGUUAGCACUUUAGAGAUUCGUUUUUAUUGGGCUGGGAAAGGGACAACUAAUUCCCCAAGGAGAGGGACAUUUGGUUCUCUCAUAUCAGCUAUCUCAGUUGAGUCUGAUUUCAAGCCGCCUGGUGAUAGCAACAGGAUAAUGUUCAUAGUGAUUGGAGUUGCUUUAGUCUUGUGCCUUAUCUUCAUGGUUUUUGGCAUUCUUUGGUUGAGAAGCUUCUUUGGAGGCAAGACCUCAAGGGAACAAGAGCUGAAAGGAUUAGAUCUGCAAACUGGUCUUUUUAGAUUCAAACAAAUCAAAGCUGCCACUAACAACUUUGAUGCUGCAAACAAGCUUGGGGAAGGUGGCUUUGGAAUUGUUUAUAAGGGGGAAUUAUCAGAUGGUACCACUAUUGCUGUCAAGCAGCUUUCAUCAAAAUCAAAACAAGGAAAUCGUGAGUUUGUGAAUGAAAUAGGGAUGAUUUCUGGUUUGCAACAUCCAAACCUUGUUAGAUUGUAUGGAUGUUGCAUCGAAGGAAAUCAGUUGUUGUUGGUAUAUGAAUAUAUGGAGAACAAUAGUCUUGCACAUUACUUGUUCGGUCCACAAGAAGGUAAACUGAAACUGGACUGGCAUAAAAGGCAAAAAAUAUGUAUUGGCAUUGCAAGAGGGUUAGCUUUCCUACAUGAGGAGUCAACGCUGAAAAUUGUUCAUAGAGACAUCAAAAUGACUAAUAUAUUGCUAGACAAGGACCUUAAUCCUAAAAUCUCAGACUUUGGUUUGGCCAAGCUGGACGAAGAGGAGAAGACGCAUAUUAGCACCAGAAUAGCUGGAACUAUAGGAUACAUGGCGCCAGAAUAUGCGCUAUGGGGUUACUUAACUGAUAAAGUAGAUGUUUACAGUUUUGGAGUUGUUGCCCUAGAGUUGGUAUCUGGCAAAAACAUCAAAUUUCGGUCCAAUGAGAAUUAUGUAUGCCUUCUAGAUUGGGCCCUUAUUUUGCAACAAAAAGAAAACCUGAUGGAGCUAGUGGAUCCGAAGUUGGGAUCCAAGUUCAACAAGGAACAGGCAAUGAGAAUGAUCAAAGUAGCUCUACUAUGCACCAACCCAUCUCCAGCAUUAAGACCUACAAUGUCUGCAGCACUAAGCAUGCUUGAAGGUCGAGCUGUUAUUCAUGAAUCAAGUAGAAACCUGAGUAUGUAUGGUGAUGAACUGGGAUCUAUGGCCUCAAGAGAUGACUCUAAUGAUCUGAAUAUUCAGCAUAGCCCAAGUGAGACUCGGAGCCUCAUAUACUUAUCAGAUGCCAAAGGACCAGAGGCCUCUUCCUCAAGGACCAUCCACGAUAACUAUACAUUUAAUCUUGAAUCCCCAUAG